rnacentral:rRNA from 1 species
GAGUUUGAUCAUGGCUCAGAGCGAACGCUGGCGGCAGGCCUAACACAUGCAAGUCGAACGGACCCUUCGGGGUUAGUGGCGGACGGGUGAGUAACACGUGGGAACGUGCCUUUAGGUUCGGAAUAGCUCCCGGAAACGGGUGGUAAUGCCGAAUGUGCCCUUCGGGGAAGAUUUAUCGCCUUUAGAGCGGCCCGCGUCUGAUUAGCUAGUUGGUGAGGUAACGGCUCACCAAGGCGACGAUCAGUAGCUGGUCUGAGAGGAUGACCAGCCACACUGGGACUGAGACACGGCCCAGACUCCUACGGGAGGCAGCAGUGGGGAAUCUUGCGCAAUGGGCGAAAGCCUGACGCAGCCAUGCCGCGUGAAUGAUGAAGGUCUUAGGAUUGUAAAAAUUCUUUCACCGGGGACGAUAAUGACGGUACCCGGAGAAGAAGCCCCGGCUAACUUCGUGCCAGCCGCCGCCGUAAG